ensembl:misc_RNA Gm22665 predicted gene, 22665
GUAUAUGAGGGUGAUCGGGCGUGAUAGUUGUCAGCAGACCAAUUGCAAGGGUGAUUUAGCUAGUUUGGUUGUGAUUAUCCCUUCUACCAUCACUACUCCAUGAGCAUCCCACCUGAACCUGCAGUCAGUUGAGCAUGACCUACUCCUUAGAUAAGUCAUAGGUAUGUGAAUACCUUCUAUCACCUGCUUAAACCUCAAAGAAAGAUCAUCAGAAAAGAUGAAAAAUCUUCCUGCCUCCUCUUUCACAUUGAUCACUGAAACGUCAGGGGAAGUGU